rfam:Danio rerio chromosome 9, GRCz11 reference primary assembly.
ACUGGCAGCUAGCUGUCUGCAACUCUCACAUGGUCGCCCACUGAAGCUAAGCAAGGCUGCGCCUGGUCAGUACCUGGAUGGGAGACCACAUGGGAAAGCUAGGUUGCUGCCGGAA